GUUAUAGGAUCAAGUGACUAAGUGCACAUGGUGGAUGCCUUGGCGAUCACAGGCGAUGAAGGACGCGAUAGCCUGCGAAAAGCUACGGGGAGUUGGCAAAUAAGCAUUGAUCCGUAGAUAUCCGAAUGGGGAAACCCACUGACGUAAGUCA
rnacentral:rRNA from 1 species